AUUGAUUCAUCAAUCGUAUAAAACUAUGUGGGCAUGGCUAAAUGUUCUAUAUAGUUAGUUAUAUUCGACGGAAUAAAGAAUUGAGCAGUUGGAACGAUUCUCGUUUGUUUAUGCUACUGUUGUAUGAGCAAAAGUGCCUUGUGCGUCUGCCUACAGUGGCUUCAAAUGACAGUAAGUCCGCCCUUUGGCGCAGUUGUGGCCCACUACUCACUGCCUCAGCCCCCAGAAGACGAAUUUCAUAGGAAAACAAUUGAAAAAGGAGGAAGAAGAACAGACCCUGGACUUGGGGUAGAGGUAGAACAGCUGUUCGUCUGAGAACGGCAUCUGGACAGCGUCUUCAGGAUUCUGGCGUCUGGUGCGAUGGAAAGGCCGACAAGACAAGAUCGCGUGAAUGGGAAUUGGGCCUGCUCCACAUCUUCCUGUACCAGCCCCGCGAGCCCCCUGCGUGGUGCCUGCCGCCUUCCUGCUGUUCUCGCGCCAGGAGCAUCCGUGCCCCGGUGAAGCUCCCUAUUCAGCUGAGUUCUAAAACGUUGCCUCUUAGCUUCCUGGGCGAACUCGCUGAAGUCUCGCAACAUUACCGUGCAUGCCAUGAAGCGUCUGCUCUUCUGGACAGAUGUCGGCAGUCAUCAGGCCAUCAUGCCGAGUCUCCCGAGUCGAUGGCAAUGAGCGUGCGGAGCUGGGAGGAUUCACGGCGCUGGCCCUGUACCAACAGUCCGAUAUACCAUGCGUAUCGAAGUUAUAAACAUCAAUGGAAUGAAUAAGAGAUACACAUUGUCGGCUAGGGGGAUUUGUGUACUGGCUGGACGACAAGACCGGAAUGGAGAGGCUCACUGUCAACGGAGAGCGUCGUUCCGUGGAGAUGCAUCGUCUGUCGCAGUUCACCGACAUCCGGGCCGUGUGGACGUUUCCACAACUGCAUAGCCAGCGGGGUGACACGCAGUACUCACGACGUUUGCUCGUGCCCCAAGCAUCUGAUGCUACUGGAGGACUAGGAGAACUACGGCGUGUAUCCGGCCAGAUAAUUUUAGUAGUGACAUGAACAACGACUGUAUAUCCGCCUUCUGGCGCUGUAACGAAAGGACUGCCCGGCGGUUCACUUCAGCUGACAGUCAGCCGAGGGCAGCGACAAGGCUCUGAUCUACCAUGGUACCACCUUUGACAACUGAGACAAUGUCCACAAUGAGGCCGACUGCUGCAAGCGGCCAGAAGACUUUCAGUGUCCCAUCAACAUGGUGAGUGGAAAGACACGAUAUCUGCCUAAAUUCUUAAACUAAUAAUAUCCUACCUAUAUCGGCCGCCCGGCUCUGAGAUGGCUGGCAGGACUGCGCCAAUGGUGCAGACGAUUCGUUCGACGCAUGGCCCGGCAAGAGCCACACCGAGCCAAUGUAUCGAGCUCUAAUGGCUCCAUCGAAGAAAAUAAAUAAAGCAGGAAGCACGCCGUCAAGCACUCCCCUUUAAAGACUUUGAAAAUGCAAUAGAGAACCUGCGGGAUAUUGCAUUUGAGGUUCAACGCGACCAAGCUGCGGAUGAAGAUGGAGCGAAAAGACUCUGGACGAGUGUGCCAGGUUACCACUACCACAAUGCCUUCUGCAAGGACAAAUGUGUAGUCGGCGUGUAUUAACAUAUAAAGAAAUGAAUUAA